rnacentral:RNase_P_RNA from 1 species
CGAGUCGGCCGGACGGUCGCGGCGCCUCGGCGCUGAGGAAAGUCCGGGCUCCACAGGGCAGGGUGGUGGACAACAUCCACCCGGGGCGACCCGCGGGACAGUGCCACAGAGAACAGACCGCCCGAGUGAUCGGGUAAGGGUGAAACGGCGGUGCAAGAGACCACCGCGUCGCAGGUGACUGCGACGGCACGGCAAACCCCACCCGGAGCAAGACCAAGAAGGAUGCCCCGGCAUCCGCGCAGGUGAUCGAGGGCUGCCCGCCCGAGCCUGCGGGUAGGUCGCGCGCCCGUCGCGGAAGCGGCGGGGGAAGGACGCCGGCGACGGCGUUCGCAGAUGGAUGACCGUCGGCUGUUCGCAGUCACAGAACCCGGCUUACAGGCCGGCUCGUCCU